CCAGCAGCCGCGGUAAUUCCAGCUCCAAUAGCGUAUAUUAAAGUUGUUGCAGUUAAAAAGCUCGUAGUUGAAUUUGUGGUGAUCCCCACGGUCCAAUUUUGGUACUUGUGGGGAUUGCCAUCCUUGGAUGGAUCCUGUGUGGCAUUAGGUUGUCGUGCAGGGGAUAUCCAUCGUUUACUGUGAAAAAAUUAGAGUGUUCAAAGCAGGCUUACGCCGUUGAAUAUAUUAGCAUGGAAUAAUGAGAUAGGACCUUGGUACUAUUUUGUUGGUUUGCGCACCAAGGUAAUGAUUAAUAGGGACAGUUGUGGGUAUUCGUAUUCCAUUGUCAGAGGUGAAAUUCUUGGAUUUCUGGAAGACGAACUA
rnacentral:rRNA from 1 species